rnacentral:lncRNA from 1 species
CAAUACAGUGUUGAGAGAGAGAGUGAGUUCCAUGCCUUCCACAUACCUGAGAGAGAGAGAUAGAGAGGGAUUACCAGUAUUACAUCAUAUCAAUAAUCCAUCUUUGACAGUUAUCCAGAAACUAAUACUAAAUGUUCAAAUGUUCACAAUUGUUGGUUGUGCAUACUAUACAAUUCCAUAACCAGUUCACCACCAGUUUAUCCUGUUCUACCUGUUUUUGUUCACACUAUACAGUUUCACACUUCAUCAAUGUCAUCUGCCAUCGUCAUUGACUAUCUUGCUGCCAACAUUGUCAUCUCAGUUGUAUCAUCUCUGUCGGCUGCCCUGACAGGACAAGCUGUGUUUCCAUAUUUGAGCUUGCAUCAGCAUUGUUUCUUAUUCACUAAUAACAAAUUAUUGACUUCUCUUUUCCUAUCUCCUCCUUAUCUCUCUGUUCUUCGCCUCUUCUUUCUACACAAAAUCUGUUGUAUUUAUUACAUCUUUGGACCAGGAAAUUUCCCAUGAUUUGAAGACAGUGUAAGGUAUAUAUUAAUGACUUUAAUAUUAAAAGAAAAUAAAAGAAUAAAAAAAUCUCGAUGUUUACCUGCCGGAGAGGGGACGGUGGUGGACCACUGCGAACCAGGAGAAAGUGCCGGAAGUGGGUGGUAGGACGACAGAAAAAAGUUAUUGGUUUAAAGAAAUUAAUUUGUUUUAUUU